GAUGAACGCUGGCGGCGUGCCUAAUACAUGCAAGUCGAGCGAAUGGAUUAAGAGCUUGCUCUUAUGAAGUUAGCGGCGGACGGGUGAGUAACACGUGGGUAACCUGCCCAUAAGACUGGGAUAACUCCGGGAAACCGGGGCUAAUACCGGAUAACAUUUUGAACCGCAUGGUUCGAAAUUGAAAGGCGGCUUCGGCUGUCACUUAUGGAUGGACCCGCGUCGCAUUAGCUAGUUGGUGAGGUAACGGCUCACCAAGGCAACGAUGCGUAGCCGACCUGGGAGGGUGAUCGGCCACACUGGGACUGAGACACGGCCCAGGCUCCUACGGGAGGCAGCAGUAGGGAAUCUUCCGCAAUGGACGAAAGGCUGACGGAGCAACGCCGCGUGAGUGAUGAAGGCUUUCGGGUCGUAAAACUCUGUUGUUAGGGAAGAACAAGUGCUAGUUGAAUAAGCUGACACCUUGACGGUACCUAACCAGAAAGCCACGGCUAACUACGUGCCAGCCGCCGCAGUAA
rnacentral:rRNA from 1 species